GAAACCUGGAGACUUACAAAGAGGGUUCAACCUAAAUUGAGGACGACGCAGUGAGCGAUGGAAAGGAAAAUCAUAGGUAUAACAUUAAGAGACAGGAAGAGGUCAGAGUGGGUCUGGGAACAAAGGGGGGUUAAGGAUAUUAUACUUGAAAUCAAGAAGAUGAAAUGGAUAUAGGCCGGACACGU
rnacentral:lncRNA from 1 species